UACGUAGGGGGCAAGCGUUGUCCGGAUUUAUUGGGCGUAAAGCGUGCGUAGGUGGUUCGUUGUGUCUGUGGUGAAAGCCCCGGGCUUAACCUGGGAAUGGCCAUGGAAACUGGCGAGCUGGAGUCUGGCAGAGGGGGGUGGAAUUCCGCGUGUAGCAGUGAAAUGCGUAGAGAUGCGGAGGAACACCGAUGGCGAAGGCAGCCCCCUGGGCUAAGACUGACGCUGAGGCACGAAAGCGUGGGGAGCAAACAGG
rnacentral:rRNA from 1 species